AGAGUUUGAUCAUGGCUCAGGACGAACGCUGGCGGCGUGCCUAACACAUGCAAGUCGAGCGAGGGGAGUUCUUCGGAACGAACCUAGCGGCGGACGGGUGAGUGACACGUGGGUAACCUGCCUCAAAGAGGGGGAUAGCCUUCCGAAAGGAAGAUUAAUACCGCAUAAUCCAUUGUUUCCGCAUGGGGAUGAUGGUAAAGAUUUAUCGCUUUGAGAUGGACCCGCGGCGCAUUAGCUAGUUGGUGAGGUAAUGGCUCACCAAGGCGACGAUGCGUAGCCGACCUGAGAGGGUGAUCGGCCACAUUGGAACUGAGACACGGUCCAGACUCCUACGGGAGGCAGCAGUGGGGAAUAUUGCACAAUGGGCGCAAGCCUGAUGCAGCAACGCCGCGUGAGUGAUGAAGGUCUUCGGAUUGUAAAGCUCUGUCUUUUGGGACGAUAAUGACGGUACCAAAGGAGGAAGCCACGGCUAACUACGUGCCAGCAGCCGCGGUAAUACGUAGGUGGCAAGCGUUGUCCGGAUUUACUGGGCGUAAAGGGUGCGUAGGUGGAUAUUUAAGUCAGAUGUGAAACCCCUGGGCUCAACUCAGGGACUGCAUUUGAAACUGGAUAUCUGGAGUGCAGGAGAGGUAAGUGGAAUUCCUAGUGUAGCGGUGAAAUGCGUAGAGAUUAGGAAGAACACCAGUGGCGAAGGCGACUUACUGGACUGUAACUGACACUGAGGCACGAAAGCGUGGGUAGCAAACAGGAUUAGAUACCCUGGUAGUCCACGCCGUGAACGAUGAGUACUAGGUGUAGGGGGUAUCGACUCCCUCUGUGCCGCAGUUAACACAAUAAGUACUCCGCCUGGGAAGUACGAUCGCAAGAUUAAAACUCAAAGGAAUUGACGG
rnacentral:rRNA from 1 species